AUGAUUUUCUGGUCUAUACUAAUUUCACUGUGGAGUAAAAAGCAAAGUUCUUGUCUCAGGAAUGCUGGUGUCACCACGAACCUAAGAUACAUGGUGAGGAAGAGAUGAUAGGAUGUGACCCUUCGAAGUGAAAGAACACAGUCAUGUUAUAUGGUAUAGUCAUGGUUAUAUGGUAUAAGAGAAAGAUGUGAAAUUUGUGACUUCUGUUCAGAAAGAGUAUUAGAGAGGCCAGGAAUGCUGGAGAAAUCGUUCUUGGAUAAAUUUCCCCAAGAGGAACCCAACAUCCUAAAGUGGGGCCAGCAGAUCUGGAAGAUGCAGAGCUAUACUUCUGUGCCAGCUCCUCCCU